UACGUAGGUGGCAAGCGUUGUUCGGAAUUAUUGGGCGUAAAGGGCGCGUAGGCGGUUUGUUAAGUCGGCUGUGAAAGCCCGGGGCUCAACCCCGGAGGGUCAGCCGAUACUGGCAGGCUAGAGUACAGAAGAGGUAACUGGAAUUCCCGGUGUAGCGGUGAAAUUCGUAGAUAUCGGGAGGAACACCAGUGGCGAAGGCGGCGACCUGGGCCAAUACUGACGCUGAGGUGCGAAAGCGUGGGGAGCAAACAGG
rnacentral:rRNA from 1 species